UAAUAUUGCAAUAUUUUCUCGUAAAAUUAUGACUUUUUUUAAUGCAAAACCCUGACAUUUGUCAUAUAAAUUUCUGACUUUUAUCGCAAUAUUGCCAAUUUUUUUUGGUUGUUCUUGUAAAAUAGUGACAUUUUUUGGAGUAAAAUUGUGACUUUUGUCCUCAUUUCGCCGAGUAAAAUUCAGAUUAUUAUAAUGAUAUCGCCAACAUUUUUAAGUUUUCCUGUAAAAUUGCGACUUGUCGAGUAAAAUUCCGACUCGUUUCGUAAAAUUGCCAACAUUUUAAGCUUGACUUGUAAAAUUGCGACUGUCAUUGAGUACAAUAUUGCACAAAUGUUCAGGUUUUUUUUGUAAAAUUUUGACUCGCGUUGAGUAAAAUUACGACUUUUGUUAUAACACUGCCAAGUUUUUCUUGUGAAAUUCUGACCUUUUUCUUGUGAAUUUCCAACUCAUUUUUUUAUAUUUGCAUAGUAUGUAUAUAUUAUUAAUGUUGUAAAUACACUUCUUUAUCCAUCUAGAAAGGGUGGUCCUAAAGAGGUUUUCGGAGGUUUCAAGAAGGUAACAAAUACAAGAGUGUGUGCGUGUGUGUGUGUGUGUGUGUGUGUGUGUGUGUGUGUGUGUGUGUGUGUGUGUGUGUGUGUGUGUGUUAGGUGUCGUAAGCAGAGACGAGGGUCUUGGGGAGGAAAGGAGACCAGACAGACAGACAGAUGGCAGCUGACAAAUGUUUUCAGACUAGCCCAAUUAAAAGAAUGUUUGCUUCUUCCUGUGGACGCCUUGCUGAGGGGAGGCGGUGGUCCUGCCAUUGUGUUUGCCGAGGGCUUCCAAAUCAAAGAGUGCAGGAAAUGCAUGUUGGGACUGUCGUUUCCGCCCUCCUUCUCCCCGGACCCCUGAGCAGACUUUACAGGAGCCAGGAGGUCAAGCAGGAAAGACACAAGGGUGGUUCCUGAUCAGGGAUAUCCUGCCUUUCUGAUGCGUCGCACCGCUUUUAAAUGCGUCUAAACCCUCAAUCCUUAUUUCAUCAGCGGCCAGAGAAAGAGAGAUGGAGAGAGGGGAAAACACCUGAAGUGACGGAUGAGGCUUCUCUUUCUCCCUCCUUUUCAAAAGGCCUUCACACAAGGCCGCCAUCGUUAGUGGGGACACGUCGUUUCCGAGGGCGAUGGCGGUGGAAGACGCUCCGGAUCUUGGCCUUAUUGUGUAAGUGACUGCACAAAGUCUCCCCUUCUUCAUCUCUCCUCCCGCAUCCUGUCGGUUGCUUUCGCUACUAAAAGGCUCCUCUGUGACCUCAGCUGCACGCUUUUAGUGCGCUGGCGUGCAGGUAAAGCCAACCAUGAAGCCAUU